AAGAGAUGCCCUCCGGUCAGGCCGAGAAAUGACUACUACCUACCUGCCUACUAGCCUCGAUCCUUCGUCAGUGAACGCUAAGAUGUCGUUCGGCAAGGUAGCUAACUGCUUGCUUAUCGCUUUCGUAGCUCUAGCUAAUGGAAUGCCGCAGAACCAGAUUACGGCAACUACAGAAUCACCUGAAUCACUCCCGUUUCUCCAAUUUACUAACGGAGGAAUCCGGGUGAACUUUGGAGGCUAUCAUGCUCAAGCUGGACUCGGCGGGGUUCUCGGAGAAGGGACAGGGGGUGGACUUCACGCGAGCGCGGGAACUCCGUGGGGUGCGUUCGCGGGUGCGGGAUUAGGUGGCCAAUUAGGCAGAGAAAAUCUCGGCGGCGGUUUGUACGCUCGUGCUGGACUCGGUCGUGGAAGACCGGAAGCUGCGGCCGGUCUCGGUGGAAGAUUGGAUGGACGAUCGUUGAACCCGAUCUCCGGUGGUCUUUACGCAGGCGCGACACCGGGUGGUCCAGGAGUCGGUGUGCAACUUGGCGGAGGAAUCGACGGAGCUGCAGCCGGUAGCACGGUCGACGAAGCUAAGGCGGGUGCAUCCGGUGCGGGAGAGGCUAAUGCAACAGCGGAUGCAGCUACAAGCGUAACGAAGCCGAGCAAAGGCCACACGAACAUACAGAUCAUACGUUCGAGAGCUCAGAAGGAGAGAGACGAACAGAAAGAGAAGGUGGUGGCGCUUGCAGCUGCCGCGUUGCCAACUAACGUGUCUGCAGAUGGAAAGGUCGAGUCGCCAAACAAAGAGAUACGUGCAGUCAAAGUCGUUGCUGUGCAACCUCCUGCAGCGGAAGUUGGUGUAGUCGGAUCGAUUAGUCUGUUUGGAGCGGCGCCAGUCGUGAAAUCCGUCGAAAAAGACAUUGUGGUCUCUGCACCUGUUGCACCUGUACAAGACACAAUUAAGACGGUUACAACAGGAGAAAGAGGUUCUGGACCGUUCCUAGGAAAGUAGUCUACGUCGCUCCACCGGCGACAGCUGAUUCUCAAGGCUCACCUUCGGAUAUGGUCGGUGAACUCUUCGCCAAUUCGGUGGGAGAUAGUGGCGGUACAGUUGCUGUGAGCAAAGUUUAUAGCGGAUCCUUAUUCGAUGACAUCUUCAACAUUCCAAUUUCUACGCUGUCCGCUGUGAAUCAAUUACUGAGAAACAACGUCGGCUGAGAUUUCGCAUUCUUAUAUAAGUUUAUAUUUGAAAAUAGUCGUGCAAUAUAUGAAAUUCACGAGCGAGGAUCGUGAGCCACGUUUUUUUCGCAAGGUCCUCCGAAUAUAUUUAGCGUUCUCGUAUAUUCAGCCACUUUCGUGUUUAUUCCAGCCUAUUUACGAAUGACAGGCACAUACGUGAUAUCCAUCCUGCGAUUUCCUGCACGUGAUCAGAUUGUAAUUCCGUCUAGUAAUUUAACAUACGAUAGUAUUUCUUUGUUUCAAGCUGCGAGUCAUUUUAAUAAGACACAUUAAUAAAUUUUUAUACGAGAAAAGGAAUUUGCCUGACACGAAUUAUUUAUGUUCUCCUGAAUUUAAUUUUAUCAUUUUACGACUUAUAUUACUCAUGCGUAUAUAUGAUAUGUGUAAACAUCGUACGAUACAAAAUUCAAGGAUAUUUCAUCAAGAAUGAAUAUUUACUUUGCUUCUUA
rnacentral:misc_RNA from 1 species